rnacentral:rRNA from 1 species
UACGUAGGGGGCAAGCGUUGUCCGGAAUCAUUGGGCGUAAAGAGCGUGUAGGCGGCCCGGUAAGUCCGUUGUGAAAGUCGAGGGCUCAACCCUCGAAUGCCGGCGGAUACUGCCGGGCUAGAAUCCGGAAGAGGCGAGUGGAAUUCCCGGUGUAGCGGUGAAAUGCGCAGAUAUCGGGAGGAACACCAGUAGCGAAGGCGGUUCUCUGGGCCUUACCUGACGCUGAGACGCGAAAGCGUGGGGAGCGAACCGG